rnacentral:rRNA from 1 species
GGGUCAGUAGAUUGGUCGUGCCACUGGUACGUACUGGUCUACUGGCUCCUCCUUCCUGAUGAACCGUAAUGCCAUUAAUUUGGUGUUGCGGGGAAACUGGACUGUUACUUUGAAAAAAUUAGAGUGUUUAAAGCAGGCUAACGCUUGAAUACAUUAGCAUGGAAUAAUAGAAUAGGACUU